rnacentral:rRNA from 1 species
UACAGAGGGUGCAAGCGUUGCUCGGAUUUACUGGGCGUAAAGCGUACGCAGACGGUGAGAAAGGUCGGAUGUGAAAGCCCCGGGCUCAACCCGGGAACUGCAUCCGAAACCAUCUCGCUCGAGUGUGGGAGAAGGAAGCGGAAUUCCUGGUGUAGAGGUGAAAUUCGUAGAUAUCAGGAGGAACACCGGCGGCGAAGGCGGCUUCCUGGCCCAUUACUGACGUUCAGGUACGAAAGCGUGGGUAGCAAACAGG